rnacentral:rRNA from 1 species
UACGGAAUGUGCAAACGUUAUUCGGAAUCACUGGGCUUAAAGAGUCCGUAGGCGGCAUGUUAGGUGAGGUGUGAAAUCCCACGGCUCAACCGUGGAACUGCUCGGUAUACUGCUUAUCUUGAGCCACUUAGGGGCUACCGGAACAAGUGGUGGAGCGGUGAAAUGCGUAGAUAUCACUUGGAACGCCAAUGGUGAAGACAGCUCGCUGGGGGUGUACUGACACUGAGACACGAAAGCCAGGGGAGCGAACGGG